rnacentral:rRNA from 1 species
CUAACGCAUUAAGUACCCCGCCUGGGGAGUACGGCCGCAAGGCUAAAACUCAAAGGAAUUGACGGGGCCCCGCACAAGCGGCGGAGCAUGCGGAUUAAUUCGAUGCAACGCGAAGAACCUUACCUGGGUUUGACAUAUAUCGGAAACGUUCAGAGAUGGGCGCCCCGUAAGGUCGGUAUACAGGUGGUGCAUGGCUGUCGUCAGCUCGUGUCGUGAGAUGUUGGGUUAAGUCCCGCAACGAGCGCAACCCUCGUCCAAUGUUGCCAGCGGGUUAUGCCGGGGACUCAUUGGAGACCGCCGGGGUCAACUCGGAGGAAGGUGGGGAUGACGUCAAGUCAUCAUGCCCCUUAUGUCCAGGGCUUCACGCAUGCUACAAUGGCCGGUACAAAGAGUUGCGAGCCUGUGAGGGUGAGCGAAUCUCAAAAAGCCGGUCUCAGUUCGGAUUGGGGUCUGCAACUCGACCCCAUGAAGUCGGAGUCGCUAGUAAUCGCAGAUCAGCAACGCUGCGGUGAAUACGUUCCCGGGGCUUGUACACACCGCCCGUCAAGUCAUGAAAGUCGGUAACACCCGAAGCCGNNNNCCUAACCCGUUUGGGGGGGAGCUGUCGAAGGUGGGACUGGUAAUUAGGACUAAGUCGUAACAAGGUAACC